UCUAAGAGCCUUAAAGAUACCUUGGCCCAGAUUUUGCGAAGAGGUAAAAACCCUACAUGAUGAGAGGCCUAAAAUAAAAGGUUUCGAAAUAGCUUUGAUGAUCCUUUCCAAACUGGUGGUGUUUCAGAGAGCAUUUGAUUUAAUUCCUAUGACAUAAGGUCUGAUUCUUGCUACUCAAAGUCCUGUAGCCCAACCAUCAUUAUGGAACCAUGAGACUCCCUACCUACCAUCAAAUGGUUCCAUCAUCAUUAAAAGACUGUUAGAGAGGCAGACUAUCAGUUCUCUACCAGGCCUGCUGAACCAGAA